CGGCGAGUGAAGCGGCAACAGCUCAAAUUUGAAAUCUGGCCCUAGGGUCCGAGUUGUAAUUUGCAGAGGAUGCUUUUGGUGAGGUGCCUUCCGAGUUCCCUGGAACAGGACGCCAUAGAGGGUGACAGCCCCGUCCGGUCGUGCCACCAAGCCUAUGUAAAGCUCCUUCGACGAGUCGAGUAGUUUGGGAAUGCUGCUCUAAAUGGGAGGUGAAUGUCUUCUAAAGCUAAAUACCGGCCAGAGACCGAUAGCGCACAAGUAGAGUGAUCGAAAGACGAAAAGCACUUUGAAAAGAGGGUUAAACAGUACGUGAAAUUGUUGAAAGGGAAGCGUUUAUGACCAGACGUGGGCCUGGCGGAUCAUCCGGCGUUCUCGCCGGUGCACUCCGCCGGUCCAGGCCAGCAUCGGUUCGGCGCGGGGGAUAAAGGCGUCGGGAAUGUGGCUCCCCCGGGAGUGUUAUAGCCCGUCGCGCAAUACCCUGGGCUGGACCGAGGUACGCGCU
rnacentral:rRNA from 1 species